UACGAAGGGUGCAAGCGUUACUCGGAAUUACUGGGCGUAAAGCGUGCGUAGGUGGCGCGUUAAGUCGGAUGUGAAAGCCCCGGGCUCAACCUGGGAAUGGCAUCCGAUACUGGCGGGCUAGAGUUCGAUAGAGGGUCGUGGAAUUCCCGGUGUAGCGGUGAAAUGCGUAGAGAUCGGGAGGAACAUCAGUGGCGAAGGCGGCGACCUGGAUCAGAACUGACACUGAGGCACGAAAGCGUGGGGAGCAAACAGGAUUAGAUACCCUGGUAGUCCACGCCCUAAACGAUGCCAACUGGACGUUGGGAGCAACUUGGCUCUCAGUGUCGAAGCUAACGCGUUAAGUUGGCCGCCUGGGGAGUACGGUCGCAAGACUGAA
rnacentral:rRNA from 1 species